rnacentral:tRNA from 1 species
ACUUGAAUAGCUUAUUUUUAGAGCGCGACACUGAAGAUGUCGAUGAGGUGUUGUUGUGACCUUUGAGUG